UCCGAUAUGGUGUAGUGGCUAACAUUAUCGCCUCUCAGCAAAGCUCAUGUCUGAACGCGAUAGCCCGGGGUUCGAUUCCCCGUGUCGGAA
rnacentral:tRNA from 1 species